UACGUAGGGUGCAAGCGUUGUCCGGAUUUAUUGGGCGUAAAGAGCUCGUAGGCGGUUUGUCGCGUCGAAUGUGAAAACCCGGGGCUCAACCCCGGGCCUGCAUUCGAUACGGGCAGACUAGAGUUCGGUAGGGGAGUCUGGAAUUCCUGGUGUAGCGGUGAAAUGCGCAGAUAUCAGGAGGAACACCGGUGGCGAAGGCGGGUCUCUGGGCCGAUACUGACGCUGAGGAGCGAAAGCGUGGGGAGCGAACAGG
rnacentral:rRNA from 1 species